AUGAACGCUGGCGGCGUGCCUAAUACAUGCAAGUCGAGCGAACAGACGAGGAGCUUGCUCCUCUGACGUUCGCGGCGGACGGGUGAGUAACACGUGGAUAACCUACCUAUAAGACUGGGAUAACUUCGGGAAACCGGAGCUAAUACCGGAUAAUAUAUUGAACCGCAUGGUUCAAUAGUGAAAGACGGUUUUGCUGUCACUUAUAGAUGGAUCCGCGCCGCAUUAGCUAGUUGGUAAGGUAACGGCUUACCAAGGCAACGAUGCGUAGCCGACCUGAGAGGGUGAUCGGCCACACUGGAACUGAGACACGGUCCAGACUCCUACGGGAGGCAGCAGUAGGGAAUCUUCCGCAAUGGGCGAAAGCCUGACGGAGCAACGCCGCGUGAGUGAUGAAGGUCUUCGGAUCGUAAAACUCUGUUAUUAGGGAAGAACAAAUGUGUAAGUAACUAUGCACGUCUUGACGGUACCUAAUCAGAAAGCCACGGCUAACUACGU
rnacentral:rRNA from 1 species